UUGCUGCUUCGCUGACGAGUGGCGGACGGGUGAGUAAUGUCUGGGAAACUGCCUGAUGGAGGGGGAUAACUACUGGAAACGGUAGCUAAUACCGCAUAACGUCUCAUGACCAAAAAGGGGGACCUUCGGGCCUCUUGCCAUCGGAUGUGCCCAGAUGGGAUUAUCUAGUAGGUGGGGUAACGGCUCACCUAGGCGACGAUCCCUAUCUGGUCUGAAAGGAUGACCAGCCACACUGGAACUGAUACACGGUCCACACUCCUACGGGAGGCAGCAGUGGGGAAUAUUGCACUAUGGGCGCAAGCCUGAUGCAGCCUUGUCGCGUGUAUGAAAAAGGCCUUCGGGUUGUAAAGUACUUUCAGCGGGGAGGAAGGCGAUCAGGUUAAUAACCUUGUCCAUUGACGUUACCCGCAGAAGAAGCACCGGAUAACUCCGUGCCAGCA
rnacentral:rRNA from 1 species